rnacentral:rRNA from 1 species
CAGUCGCCGCGGGAAUACGAAGGGUGCAAGCGUUAAUCGGAAUUACUGGGCGUAAAGCGUGCGUAGGCGGUUUGUUAAGUCUGUUGUGAAAUCCCCGGGCUCAACCUGGGAAUGGCAAUGGAUACUGGCAAGCUAGAGUGUGUCAGAGGAUGGUGGAAUUCCCGGUGUAGCGGUGAAAUGCGUAGAGAUCGGAAGGAACAUCCGUGGCGAAGGCGACUAUCUGGGCCAACACUGACGCUGAGGCACGAAAGCGUGGGGAGCAAACAGGAUUAGAUACCCCAGUAGUCCCUGUCUCUUAUAA